GCUCCCACCAGAGCUUGGAAUCCGUCUCUGCUCUUCUGCAUUCUCCACCUCGGGAGCCCCUGGGGACUCUGUGACGGCCUCUGUUGCCCUGUGAUCUGCAGGUCCGGAGAGACGCACAGCUAAGAUGUCAGGACAUCCUGGAAGCUGGGAAAGGGUCUUGCCAUCUCUAAGCUGGACCUGGUGACCUUUUUGGAGGGAAAGAAAGAGCCCUGGACUGUGAAGAGUGAGGAGACCAUAGCUGCACAGCCAGAGAUGGGGUUCCAUCAUGUUUUCCAGGCUGAUCUCAAACUCCCACGGUCAAGCGAUCUGCUGGCCUCGGCCUCUCAAGUCCAGAUGUAUAAUCUCAUCCCUGAACAUUUCUGAUGGUGUGAUUAUGACAUGUGACUUUAUCUGGCAACAGAGUGAGUUGUUGCUCCCGCCUGAGCCCAGCCCCCAGAAAGGAUUGUGACAUAUCGUUGGACCCAGAAUUGAGGGGGCAUUGUGUCAUAUCGCUGGGCCCCACACAUAGGUUAUGUGACUCUUCUGCCUGUGCCCUGCCCAUGUGGCCCAUUGUGACAUACUGUUGGGUCCCAAACCUAGGUGAUGUAACUCUACUGCUUAGGCCCUGCCUACAGAGGACAUUGUGACAUAUCCCUGCAUCCAUCACACAGGUUUUUGCCCACAGGGGAUAUUGUGACAUGUCACUGGGCCUAAUACUAGGGUGACAGUACUCUUGUGUCAUGGCACUGCCCUCAGCAGGUGUGGUGAUAUAUUACUGGGCCCAGAACAAAUGUGAUAUGAGUCUCCUGCCUGGACCCUGCCUACAAGGUGCAUUGUAACAUAUCUGGGGCCCUUUGACUAUUUUAUUUUAUUUAUUGUAUUAUAUUUUAUUUAUUUUAAUUUUAUUUUUGAGACAGAAUCUCACUCUGUCACCUAGGAUGGAGUGCAGUGGCGUGAUCUCUGCUCACUUCAACCUUUGCCUCCUGGGUUCAAGUGAUUCUCCUGCCUCAGCCUCCUGAGUAGCUGAGACUACAGGUGUGUGCCGCCACGUCUGGCUGAUUUUUGUGUUUUCAGUAGAGACAAGAUAUCACCCUGUUGGCCAGGCCGAUAUCAAACUCCUGACCUCAGCCAGUCCACCCGCCUUGACCUCCCAAUGUGCUGAGAUUACAGGUGUGAACCAUUGCUCUUGGCACCCUUUGACUAUUUUAUGUGACUCUUCUCUCUUACCUGGACAUUGACCAAAUGGGCCCAGCACCAAGGUGAUAUGACUCUCCUCUCCUGCCUGGGCCUUGCCCUUAGAAGAGAGAGUGACUUACUGCUGAAUUUAGCAUACAGGUGAUAUGAUUCUUCUGCUGACUCGCAGAAGUCACUGUAACAUAUAUGUGGGCCCAUUGCUGAGGUUGUGUGACUCUCUUCUCCCUGGGACCUGUCCACAGUAGGGAUUGUGACAUAUUGCUUGGCCAAGCACCUACAUUGUGUGACUUUUUAUUUAUUUAUUUUUUUAAGACAGAGUUUUGCUCUUGUUGCCCAGGCUGGAGUGCAAUACCAUGAUCUUGGCUCAGCUGGGAUUACAGGCAUGCGCCACCACACCUGGCAAAUUUUUUUUAUGUUUUCAGUAGAGAUGGGGUUUCUCCAUGUUAGUCAGGCUGGUCUCAAACUCCCAACCUCAGGUGAGCCGCCUGCCUUGGCCUCCCAAAGUACUGGGAUUCCAGGCAUGAGCCACUGCACCUAGCUUCGAUAUGACUGUCUUCUUAUGCCAGGGCCCUGCCGACUGGAGUGAUUUUGACACAUAGCUGGGGCCAGCUCAAAUGUUAUGUGACUCCACACUUCUUCCUGAGCCCUAUCUGUGAGGGGCACUGUGUCUUAUCUCUGAGACCGUUAAUUAGGUAAUAUAACUUUUAUUUUUUUGAGACAGAGUCUGGCUUUGUUGCCCCGGCUGGAGUGCAGUGGUGUGAUCUUGGUUCACUGCAACUUCCGCCUCCUGGGUUCAAGUGAUUCACCUGCCUCAGCCUCCUGAGUAGCUGGGAUUACAGGUACACAUGCCACCACGCCCAGCUAAUUUUUGUAUUUUUAGUAGAGAUGAAGUUUCACCAUGUUGGCCAGGCUGGUCUCGAAUUCCUGACCUCAAGUGAGCCACCUGCCUUGGCCUCCCAAAGUGCUGGGAUUACAGGCAUGGGCCACCACACCUGGCCAAUGUAACUCUUUUGUUUGGACUGUCUUCUUGGGGUAUUGUGAUAUAUUGCUGGGCCCAGAAUCCGGGUGAUGUGACUCUGCUGUUUCAUCUCUGCACAAAAAGGGAUUGUGACAUACCACUGGGUCAAGAACCUAGAUGAGGUGACUCUCCUCUCCAGCCUGGGACCUGCACACAUUGUGUACUAAGACAUAUCACUGAGUCUAACACCUAGGUAAUGCAACUCUCCUGCAUGGGCCCUGCCCAUAGGGGUAUUAUGAAAUAUCUUUCUGUUAAUCACCUAGGUGAUGCGACACUCCUCUUCUACCUGGGAACUGCCAAAACAAGUAUUGGUACAUAUCACUGGGCCCAGCACAUAGGUGAUGUGACUCUUUUCUCAUGCAUGGGCUCUGCGAACUGGGGUGUUUUUUACAUAUAGUUGGGCCUAAACCCUAGGUCGUGUGAUUCUUUUAUUUUCCUGAGCUGUACUCACAGAGAGCAUUUUGACAUGUUUUUGGGCCCGUAAUUUAGAUGAUGUGACUCUCUUGGAUGGGCCUUCCCCGGAAUGGGUAUUGUGACAUAUUGCUGAGCCCAUUAUAUAGGUGAUGUGACUCUCUUGCAUGGGCCCUCCACAUAAGGGGUAGUGUGACAUAUUGCUGAGCCCAGUAGGUGAUGUGACUCUUCUCUAUGGUUUGGGCUUUGCCCAAGCAGGGAUUGUGAUGUGUUGCUGGACUCACCACCUAUGUGUUGUGACUCUCCUCUUCUGCCUAAGCCCUGCAUGCAUUGUGUGUUGUGACAUGCCUGGAUUCAACACCUAGGUGAUACAACUUUAUGGCAGGGGAACCACCCACAGAAGUAUUGUAUCAUCUUUCCAUCACUUAGGUGAUGUGAUUCUUUUAUUUUUCCUGUUUCUGGCAUAUUUUGGGUAUAGUGACAUACCAUUGAGUUCAACACCCAUGAAAUCGGAGGCUUCUGCCUGAGCCCAGCACAUAAGUGACCUUGUGACAUAUCUUUGCAUUCAUUAUCUAGGAGAUUUAACUCCCCUUUUUGCCUGCACCCUGACCACUGGGAAGAUUGUGGCAAAUCACCGGUCUCAGCAAUCAAGUGAUGUGUUUUUCCUGCCUGGUCCUUGCCCACAGAUCAUUGUAACA
ensembl:lncRNA novel transcript